ACCUGCAUGGCUCAGUGGGUUGAGCGUCUGACUUCAGCUCAGGUCAUGAUCUCCUGGUUUGUGGGUUCAAGUCUUACAUCAGGUU
rnacentral:tRNA from 1 species